CGAAGGGGGCUAGCGUUGCUCGGAAUCACUGGGCGUAAAGGGUGCGUAGGCGGGUCUUUAAGUCAGAGGUGAAAUCCUGGAGCUCAACUCCAGAACUGCCUUUGAUACUGAGGGUCUUGAGUUCGGAAGAGGUGAGUGGAACUGCGAGUGUAGAGGUGAAAUUCGUAGAUAUUCGCAAGAACACCAGUGGCGAAGGCGGCUCACUGGUCCGAUACUGACGCUGAGGCACGAAAGCGUGGGGAGCAAACAGGAUUAGAUACCCUGGUAGUCCACGCCGUAAACGGUGAGUGCCAGCCGUUGGAGGGUUUACUCUCCAGUGGCGCAGCUAACGCUUUAAGCAUUCCGCCUGGGGAGUACGGUCACAAGAUUA
rnacentral:rRNA from 1 species